rfam:Phlebotomus papatasi Contig33889.1, whole genome shotgun sequence.
GCUCUAAUAGCUCAGUUGGUAGGGCAUUCGUCUAGUUAACGAGAAGUCCCCAGUUCGAUUCUGGGUGCAGGCA